AUGUGCCUAACACUUCUCUGCUGUGUGGCCCUCUGUGUCUGGGGAGCGGGCUCCGUGGACACUGAGGUCACCCAGAGUCCUGGACAUCUGGUCAAAGGAAAAGGACAGAACGCGAAGAUGGGUUGUGUCCCCAUAAAAGGACAUAGUUAUGUUUAUUGGUACCGUCAGAAGCUGGGAGAAGAGCUCAAGUUUUUGGUUUACCUACAGAAUGAAGAAAUUCUUGAGAAAACAGACAUGAUCAAUGAGCGAUAUUCACCGAAAUGCCCCCAAAACUCCCCGUGCAGCCUGGAAAUAGAGUCCACCGAGCCAGGGGACGCAGCUCUGUACUUCUGUGCCAGCAGCCAAUCCACAGUGCUGAAUGUCAGCUUUUCUUAG